UGGCUAUGAUUAUAAACUUGCCCGCGCUUCUGAGAUUGGUUUCAAUGAAGCAUAUACGGUAAAAACUGAUAAGAUCAUAACAAGAGUCA